rnacentral:rRNA from 1 species
UACGGGGGGAGCAAGCGUUGUUCGGAUUUACUGGGCGUAAAGGGCGCGUAGGCGGCCAGCACAAGUCAGUUGUGAAAUCUCCGAGCUUAACUCGGAAAGGUCAACUGAUACUGUGCGGCUAGAGUGCAGAAGGGGCAACUGGAAUUCUUGGUGUAGCGGUGAAAUGCGUAGAUACCAGGAGGAACACCGGUGGCGAAGGCGGCUUCCUGGCCCAGUACUGACGCUGAGGCACGAAAGCGUGGGGAGCGAACGGG